rnacentral:tRNA from 1 species
GGAGAGGUGGCAGAGUGGUCGAAUGCACCAGUCUUGAAAACUGGAGUGCUGGAAACGGUACCGUGGGUUCGAAUCCCACCCUCUCCGCCA